UACGUAGGGUGCGAGCGUUAAUCGGAAUUACUGGGCGUAAAGCGUGCGCAGGCGGUCUGUUAAGACCGAUGUGAAAUCCCCGGGCUUAACCUGGGAACUGCAUUGGUGACUGGCAGGCUUUGGAGUGUGGCAGGAGGGGGGUAGAAUUCCACGUGUAGCAGUGAAAUGCGUAGAGAUGUGGAGGAAUACCGAUGGCGAAGGCAGCCCCCUGGGCCAACACUGACGCUCAUGCACGAAAGCGUGGGGAGCAAACAGG
rnacentral:rRNA from 1 species